UACGAAGGGGGCUAGCGUUGUUCGGAUUUACUGGGGACGUAAGCGCACGUAGGCGGAUCGAUCAGUCAGGGGUGAAAUCCCAGAGCUCAACUCUGGAACUGCCUUUGAUACUGUCGAUCUGGAGUAUGGAAGAGGUGAGUGGAAUUCCGAGUGUAGAGGUGAAAUUCGUAGAUAUUCGGAGGAACACCAGUGGCGAAGGCGGCUCACUGGUCCAUUACUGACGCUGAGGUGCGAAAGACGUGGGGAGCAAACAGGAUUGAGAAACCCCAG
rnacentral:rRNA from 1 species